rnacentral:lncRNA from 1 species
CGGAAAGGAAAGGAAUGGAAUGGAAUGGAAUGGGCUGGAAUGGAAAGGAAUCGAAACGAAUGGAAUGGAAUCGAACUGAAGAGACUGGAAUGGAAUGCACUGGAAUGGAAGGGAGUGUAAUGGAAGGUUGUCGAAAAAAAUGGAAUCGAAUGGAAUGGAAUUGAAUGGAACGGAAUAGAGUCGAAUGGAAUUGAAUGGAAUGGAA